UUGUCUAUGGUGGAGUUUCCUUUGCCUCCACAUCUGACAUGCGCAGUAAUAAAAGCUGCUUCCCUGGAUUGUGAAGAUCUACUACUUCCAAUAGCAGCAAUGUUGUCUGUGGAAAACGUCUUCAUUAGACCUGUUGAUCCAGAGUACCAGAAGGAAGCAGAACAGAGACAUCGAGAAUUGGCAGCUAAAGCUGGAGGAUUUAAUGACUUUGCAACUUUAGCUGUCAUCUUUGAACAAUGCAAAUCAAGUGGAGCUCCAGCUUCAUGGUGCCAAAAACACUGGAUUCAUUGGAGGUGCUUAUUUUCUGCAUUUCGUGUGGAAGCUCAACUUCGAGAACUAAUCAGGAAGCUUAAACAGGUGAUUGCCGUAAUGUGUUUUUUCUUGAGUAGCAUUUUGGACCUAUAUAUUUCAUAUUGAAGUUUCAUUGAUGUACAUUAGCACCCUUUCUAUUCUACCACCCUUCCAUUCUAUUUGUUUCUAUGACCUCCUUGACCCCAUGAAACAUUCCUAGUAGUGAUAAAAGAAUUGUCUUCACAGAAAU
rnacentral:sRNA from 1 species